UACGUAGGGUGCAAGCGUUGUCCGGAAUUAUUGGGCGUAAAGAGCUCGUAGGCGGUCUGUCGCGUCUGCUGUGAAAACUCGGGGCUUAACCCCGGGCCUGCAGUGGGUACGGGCAGACUAGAGUGCGGUAGGGGAGACUGGAAUUCCUGGUGUAGCGGUGAAAUGCGCAGAUAUCAGGAGGAACACCGGUGGCGAAGGCGGGUCUCUGGGCCGUAACUGACGCUGGAGGAGCGAAAGCAUGGGGAGCGAA
rnacentral:rRNA from 1 species